ensembl:snRNA U6 U6 spliceosomal RNA
AUGCUUGCUUCAACAGCACAUAUGCUAAAAUUGCAAUGAUACGGAGAUCAGCAUGGCCCCUGUGCAAGAGUGACAUGCAUAUUUGUGAUGUGUUCCGUGUUUUU